CCAUAAUAAGAUGGUACAAAAUAUGUUUCUAGAGAAACUGGCAUUAACUAAGCCAUAUUCUGCAAAACCCAAGCUAAAGAUAAGGACAAUAACAUAUGGACUUUUACAACAAACGAGCUUACGUAAUUAUUGUUUUCUGUUCUGUAGCUGUGAAUGGACAAAGAGCAAAGAAAACUUCAUGGGCAAUGGUGGUACAAACAGAGGGAGGUGGAAGAGCGGUCAGGCAACCCCUCACACUGAGAGAAUGGAUUGCAGAACUUGUGGCCAUGUUUUCCCAGUACCUCACCUUCUCCUCCCAUCUCCAAGACUUCUAUGUCAAUUACUUAUAUUGACAUCAGUUUAUUCAAAUCCCUGCUUUUGAGUUUGAAUAAAGAAACUAGGCAAAGGUAUCUACA
rnacentral:lncRNA from 1 species